rnacentral:rRNA from 1 species
UAGGGAAUCUUCCGCAAUGGACGCAAGUCUGACGGAGCAACGCCGCGUGAGUGAAGAAGGAUUUCGGUUCGUAAAACUCUGUUGUUAGAGAAGAACAGCGAAUAGAGUAACUGUUAUGCGUGUGACGGUAUCUAACCAGAAAGCCACGGCUAACUACGUGCCAGCAGCCGCGGUAAUACGUAGGUGGCAAGCGUUGUCCGGAUUUAUUGGGCGUAAAGCGAGCGCAGGCGGUCAAUUAAGUCUGAUGUGAAAGCCCCCGGCUCAACCGGGGAGGGUCAAUGGAAACUGGUUGACUUGAGUGCAGAAGAGGAGAGUGGAAUUCCAUGUGUAGCGGUGAAAUGCGUAGAUAUAUGGAGGAACACCAGUGGCGAAGGCUACUCUCUGGUCUGUAACUGACGCUGAGGUUCGAAAGCGUGGGUAGCAAACAGG